rnacentral:rRNA from 1 species
CCUGGGACGGUCAUUUAGAACUGGCAGACUAGAGUCUUGGAGAGGGGAGUGGAAUUCCAGGUGUAGCGGUGAAAUGCGUAGAUAUCUGGAGGAACAUCAGUGGCGAAGGCGACUCCCUGGCCAAAGACUGACGCUCAUGUGCGAAAGUGUGGGUAGCGAACAGGAUUAGAUACCCUGGUAGUCCACACCGUAAACGCUGUCUACUAGCUGUUUGUGGCUUUAAGCCGUGAGUAGCGAAGCUAACGCGAUAAGUAGACCGCCUGGGGAGUACGGCCGCAAGGUUAAAACUCAAAUGAAUUGACGGGGGCCCGCACAAGCGGUGGAGCAUGUGGUUUAAUUCGAUGCAACGCGAAGAACCUUACCUACACUUGACAUGUUGAGAAGUUAC